ensembl:lncRNA
UCCCAGCACCGUGCCCUGGUCCGCGCCCCGCAGACCCUGGCCGGGGCACUCCCCAUUAGAUUAAACGGCAUUUACGGCAGCUGUAAGCACGUUUUGAGUUGAUUACCCUAUAAUUUGUAUGCAGUUGCAGGUCAUUACCAAAAUUACAAUUAAACGCAGCACCCUGUAAUUAGAUGUUUUCAUGAAUUAGGUCCUGCGGUAUUAAUGUCAGAUUUCCACGCUGUGCUCCUCCCCCGACUCCACUGCCCUGGCCCCUGCCAGCCAGCAGACCAAGUGACCUCUGGGCUCUUCUGAACCCUGGGCUGGCUUCGGUCAGAGGCUCUGCCACGUCCCAGAUGGCCGUCACCGAUGCCUGUGUCUCCUGUCUCCCCGGGGACAGACACGGCUUCCCACAGGCUUACUCGAAGCGGACGGCACGAGUUCAUUCCAUCGUCUUUGCUGAGCACCUUCUAGGCGCAUGAGCGGUGGAAGUGAUGGCAGUGAAUGUAUUAGAUAAACAAACAGAUACCCCAAACCCUGUCUGGCUGGAGCGGAUAGUUGAACAGCAACCGCAGAACUGAUAAUGUGUCUGGGGUGCCUGGUAUGUUGGAGCCACAGUGAAACUGGAGAGGAAGAUGAACGCGAGCUUCAGACGUGAUACCCAGAGGCAGGCUCUCUGAUGCCUGACCUGCAGCCUCUGCGUGUGGGCAUCUUGCAGGAGCAUCACUCACCUGGGAUGUCAGGGCACACAGGCCUGAAGCUGUCUCCUGGGAACUGGCUUCCCUUCACCUCCGAGGCACUCCCCCGAGUCCCCAUCGCCCCGCCAGGCAGGGAAAGGGCGCCUCAGUCUCCCCCACCACCUCCACAGCUGUGCCCAUUCUCCACGGCACACUCUUCCACAUCCCCGAGAGAUGGAGCGUCUCUGGCAGCCCCGCCAGGCUACCGUCCCCUCACUCCAGGCCCAGAACUGGCCUGGCUUCCUGGACGGCAGCUGGCAGGGGCUCAGGGGCAGGGGGAUGAAAGAGACCCGAGUGAGUCCUCGGAGACCCCAGCCUGCCUCCCCAGGCCCUGAGGCAGCUGUGCUCAAACCUGGCACAGCUGGGGUCUAUGGGGCUGCUGUCUGAUACACCCUCCUGCCCCGGGAAACACCCGUCUUCUCCCACCGGACCCUUCAUGGUCUGACUGGUCCCUGUCACUGGACUGCAUGGGAAAGCAGCCUGGAAUCCCUAAAACAGAGGUUUCCGGGGUGCAGACAGCAGAACCACAGGGAGGCACCUGAUGCAGGGCCGUCUUUGGGCACAUCCGUGCGCCGCGGCUGACAGGGAAGCACAGCAGCCCAGUGGGGGCUUCCCCGGUGGCUCAGCGGUAAAGAAGCCAACACAGGAGACCCAGCUUCGAUCCCCGGGUCGGGAAGAUUCCCCUGGAGGAGGAAAGGGCAACCCCCUCCAGUGUUCCUGCCUGGGAGACCCCACGGACAGGGGAGAUGGGCGGGCUACAGUCCAUGGGGUCGCAGAGAGUCGGACACAACUGAGCAACAUUAGAGCAGAGGUGGAUGGUGACCCGGCCCCCGGGACACGCCGGAUAAAACGCCCUGAGAAGCACCGUCUGGGACAUCCUGGCCCAUAACGCCGCACCUUCUUCAAGAGAUUCGUGCUGGAGGUCAGUCAGCAAAGAAAUUGACGGGCAUGCUCUUAAAACAUAAACCCAGUGACAAAAGCCCCAAGACGAGCCCCAGGUUGGUAGAGACAAAGGCUGCUCUAAGACAUCUGAACACACCAGGGCUGGAACGGUUCUUCAAAAACCAAGACACUCAGAAGUUGCAACUCAGCUCAGCGUUCUCCCCUCCUGCUAAGAUCCCCCUAAAAUAUCUGAGGAGAAGAGAGGAGAGGAGAUGGUUUUCCCAGCUUCGGGCCACCCUGGAGGGGUAUGAGUCAGCUGUGACGGGACAAAGCUUCUGUCCGGUACCGAGAUGAACCGCUGGCUGGCUGACUUCCGGGCUCCCUCUCAGCGGGGAUGCCAUGCCCUCUGGUCGGGCUCCGAGCAGAGCCGGUGCAGCAGCCUCCACAGCCACAGAGCCCUGGAACAGGCUGGGUGUCCUCGAGGGCCCCCGGGCCCCUGACAACCAGGCUCCCUCCACGCCUUCGCUCAGCUGCCUUCAGGCCCCAGUCAGCCUCCUGGCCAGGAGGAAACAUCACUUCCCCCAGGAACCCUCUGCUUGAGCCAGGCUGAGGCCGUGCUCACCUCUGGAACCCCACGGCUCCUCUCUGCCCACCCUUGGCCCCUGCCUCACUUCACUGGAAUUCUCGAGACUCCUCUCAAGGGUGGGGACAAGGCCACGUCCACCCGUGUGUCCCCCUGGCCCCUGCCUCCAGCCCAAGUCACUGGCUUUUCCGGAGAAAGACGGAGUGAGCCAAGCGGGCAAUAGAGCAGGAGCCUCCCAGGCAGGAGAAGGGGACGACAGAAGAUGAGGUGGUUGGAUGGCACCACCGACUCGAUGGACGUGAGUGUGAGCAAGCUCUGGGAGUUGGUGAUGGACAGGGAGGCCUGGCGUGCUGCAGUCCAUGGGGUCACAAAGAAUCAGACACGACUGAGUGACUGAACAUCAGUCCCAGGCAGCGGGGUCAGCAAGUGCAAAGGCCCUGAGGCAGCACGUGUUUGCAGCUACAGAGAGUACGCCAGGACCCAAGACAGGGAGGGGUCCUCCCCCCACCCCGAGAAGGAAGCGUUGCCCACCUUGAGCUGCACCAUGCCAAACU